rnacentral:lncRNA from 1 species
UUGUUCUUGGUAAAAUUAAGAGUCAGUUUGAAGUGGAUUACCAAGUGAAAUAUGAAAAUCUUGUUCGUGAAUUGGAACAGAAAUUCAGGAUGCGUGAAUUAGAAUUUGAUAAUCGGAUUCGUGAAUUGGAACAGAAUAUUCGGAUUCGUAAAUUGAUACAAGAUGACCGAUUUAGCAAAUUAGAACAAACUAUGCAGAAAAAAACUGAAGACGUGUGGUAAGAAAGAUUACACAAAUGUUGAAGUAAACCACGAAUUGGUUCUGUCUAACAAUAAUGCUACCAUACGAAAAACGCCUGACAUGAUAGUAAAGGAUCCGGUUCCCAAGGAGUUGAAACAUGACCAUAAUAGGAGAUAUAAGAAGAAUGAGAAACUGGAAAGACUAGCGGAAAGAACAAGACUUCCUCUAAGUAUUAUUAAUGUAUUUACAUAGUAAUAGUAAUACAGCCUGUAAUCCACUGGUUAAAAUUGUCAGCUCUAUAUUGUUGUUGAUAAUUUAAGUAUAAUUCAAGCUGGUUGUUUUUUUUAUAAGUUGCAUCUCGUUUUGUCACAAUUAUGUGAUUAACAUUUUCAACUAUUUUCCUCGAUAAUGACGCAGUCAUCGUUUUCAUCAUUAUACAUCACCUACUCUCAAUGUGUCUAUUAAUAAUAUGCAUAUAAACAUAAGCUAUUACAUGUAGGUAUUAAUCACAUACAAUCGAAACUUUUUUUGUAUUUCCCUACCUCUUUCAAGACUUCGUUAUCUGUUUUACGUAUGCAUGGAACCACUUUUACAACCACACAUUCACACCAAAACAAACAUUAUGUUAUCAUCUCGAACAUUAGCGGAGGAAAAAAUUUCAAAAAUGUGUAUAAGUUGUUUCUAUUGAAAAUAUUUAGAAAAUCACAUUUAAAUCUUCAUCGAGUCUACUUGGACAAUUUGAACCCGACUGUUCGGAGUGAUCUAUAGAGCGUUCUUUUUUUGUUCUGAUAUUGUGCAAAUAUAGCCACUAUAGAAAACUUUAAAUUCGGAAUGUCCUAUUUCAAACCUUAUUGUUUCCUCUGACAUGAAAUGUUUUAAAACUUUCACGAAUUGAUAACUAAAAUGUCAAUCUAAUAUUGAUUAAAUAAAAACCCCGGGUAUAUGGAGUGAAGUUAAUCAGUAUUGAUGCGUGUAACGUUCUACAUGUUAUUUUGAUUAGAUGGCAACAUAACGUCAAACGGUGACACAUUGUCCGAAUUAAAACCUUAAAUAAAAGCACGAUAUUCUGAUUGGAUAACUGCACAUCACGCCUUAUUCCUUAAGCAAUUGCAUUACACCAUAAAACUUAUCAUUCAUGAUAACACGCGGUCCCACAAUAAAGUGCACAGGUAAAUUGAAUAAAAAAAAGAUAAAAUUCGUGUUUUCAUGAUACUAGCUAAAAAGAUGUAAUUAUAAGUAUUGAAUGCUUCUUUUUGUAACUUCAUAGGGUUGUUAAAGCGUUAACCGUGCGCACAUUUUUAGACUGUACUCCGGUCAACGCUUUUACACCCCAAUGAAGUUACAAAUAAAGCAUGCACUAAAUCCAAUAGAAUUUGUUUGCACAUGCGUAUAAUGACCACUGCAUAAUAAUGAAUGUUAUCAAAUUGGCAUCCAUUUAAUAUGUUUCAUUAAAUCAAAAUACUUCCAAACUCUGAAAGGAUGCACAUGGUGUUACUAAUUCAUUUAUUAUGACUGUAAUGUGUCGUAUUUGGAAAUGAACAUAUUUGACCUAGAUACGACAACCGUUUGUGUUUAUGCAAAACUCCUCCCUCUCAAAAAUCACAUUGCCAGUCGUUUGCUUGUUUACAAACAAAAUAGGGAGGUUCACGGAAGAGCCUACACAAAUAAUCUACACUUGUGUGCAUCGGACAUAAACAUUACCUGAAUUGUCCUAAUCAGAAUCGAAAUAAUUGGUGCAAGCUAUACUGUGUUGUAGUGUUAACAUGGGUAGGCAUUAUAUUCGUGUUAUUUUAGCCAUUACUAUCUCUCAGGCAAAUACAAUCACGAAUAUAAUGCCUACCCAUUGCUCGGGCAAAAAUAAUCACGAAUAUACACUGGUUCUCCGUUAAAGCGCCCAUUUUAUAACGUUAUUUUGUCCCACCGUAAGAAAGCAAAACUAACGACUUCCAGUUAUAUACCCGUAGCUUGUUAUACUUAUAUCUGAGAGUUUUAAAUUUCUUUAUUAUCUAUAUUUUUAAUUUUUAUAAAGGUUAGUACAUAUUGCACCACAAUGGUGAUCGUACCGGCCGUCCAUAAUAUUUUCUUUGAAAAGCUGAAAUUUCCGUUGAUGGAUAAAAGACCAACCAGGACAAAAUAUUUAGUACACUAUAGAGUGUAAUAUGAGUUUAAUUUGAUCAUAAGGUUACCAUGAAUAAUUUUAUUUAUAACAAUGGUCAUUUAUUGCAAGUUACAUCAGUCUGAAAAACGAAGCAAAGUUGAAAACUGUAGAGAUUUGUUAAGCGUGUAAUCUCCGUGGAAUAGCCAAUUCUUAAAAAAACAUCAAUUUUGAAAAUAAAUUCCACAUCCAACAGAUCGAUAUCGGUGUCAACAUUAAAUUUUAGUACAACUUCAAUCUUUAGAUAUACAUAUUAUGGUUAAUAAAUGACGAAAUCGUCGAAAUGUAACCUCCGUGGAAUGUAAUCUCCGUUGACAUUUUGGUAAAGAGUGCUUCCUAUCACGUCCGCACUUUUAUCGAGUAUGGCAUGCCAAAUAAACAUAUUAGAUAGUUAUAAUGGAUGGCGAAUAAAUCACUUACAGAUCAAUAAUAUAUUGUAAUUCAGACGACAUAAGAAGACACCAUGUAACAAUUUUUAUAAAUCAAUUGUUUGAGUGUCACAGAGUUGCUUCUUUCUCAAAUCUAGAAGAAGAAAAAAAACCGAACCGGAUGUUUUUAUAUCAAUCGUAAUGCAUGUAAAUAAUUUAGACCUGUUUUCAAUAUUUAAGAUAUGAAGCUUUUAUAUGAUUAAUAUAAAUUUGAUUCCGAAUUCAAUACGAUUUAACAAUUAUGCAAUUGCAAAAAAGCUAUAAAAAUUGUUCUUUCUUUUUUUUGUGUGUUGCACAAGGAGAGAAGCUUUUAAUUUCUUUCAUCGAAAUUAGGACGUCGGUUGAAAGGGCAUGAUAUAUUGUCUGCUACAUUUAUUAACAACACCUUGUACAACAUUCUUUUCGAAAUUAAAAGCAGUAAAUAGAUUAAACAAAACUAUCCGUCAAAAUGCUAUAUAUAUACGGUCUGUAUUAGGGGAGGAGAUCUACAUUUCUGUAUUCUAUAAUUUCUUUUAGCCAUUUUUCUCUAUUCAGUUAGAAAUAUAUGCCCUUCUAUGUAAAAUUCUUGGGUUCAGUUCCUGCAUUUGAAAACUUCCGUAUAUAAUAUUUUGACAAUAUAUAGUGUCUUGUCUGUAUCAAAAAUAUACGUAUAACGACACUACUCCGUAUAGCCCCUCUUUUUUAUUCUGUCACUGUACUGCAUAAAUGAUACCAUGUUUAAAAUAAGUAUAAAACUUGGAGAAAAAAAAGUAUUUCAAUUUGUUCGAAAUCAGUUGGAUAUUUGGGAUAAUAAACAAAAGGAAAGAUGAGAUGAUAUGAGGUAUACUUUAUCAUAUUUUCCUUGUGAUUCGGGGUACUAGUAAUGAGGAGCUGAACGUUCAGUUUAUAAACAGUGACAGUACCGGUAGCUAACCGACAUUAAGAGAAAUCUGAAAUCGGAUAAAAUAAAAAUUUGAUCACCAAAAAGAUUUUAUCAUUGAUUACUCAUCUGUCCAACAAAAUAUAGAAAGAACAUUGCUUAUCAAUCAACUGUUUUGGUGAAUAGUGAAAUAUAUUUAAUAUAUGUUGGUACUAAAAAAAUGUUAUACCCAAAAGUCUGCCGUCCUCGAGCAUCAGUAUGAAAAUUAAAACGUACGAAUUAUGACAAUGUUUUGAUUCUGCAAAUCCUUACAAUUCCAAUCAAUGGUCAAUUUAUAUAUUUUGGAAUUAUAAAGAUACCUAAGGUUUUAAACUUCAUCAAUCAAUGUUACAUUCGACUGAUUUGACUUUUUUUGUGUGUCAUUUUCGUCAUAUAGCUCAUCAACUCUUUCUAUUCUUUCAUAUCUUUUGAUUUCAAAUACUUGUCGCUGAGGCGUAAAUGAUGAAGAUCAAUCAAAGAUAGUGCCCGCUUCAAACGCAUGAAAUUUAUAACUUUUUUUUUCGACCACUAUUGCAGAUCUUUUUGUGCUUAUCGGAUUAUCGUGGUCUGACAUCUGUCACGAACUGUUUUUUUUUUAAAGGUGAAUAACAUUAAAUAUUAAAUACGAGAAGGAUGUAAGGUUAAAUUUGCCUACAAUAGGAAACGAAAUGACAAGUUAACUCAUGCAAGAUCGUGAUUUUGGCGAAAAAACACUGAACGGAUGCUUAUAUGAAUGUAUAAAAUUUGCAUCGCUUAUUUCAUUUGACCAGUUGCGUUUACAACCAAUUUGAAAGUUCAACGUUUCUUUCGAAAUGAUCUACUAGAAUAUUGUCAAUAAUGCAUUUAAUAUGCAGAAAACGGAAAGUUUCAUUCAUCUUUAAAUCAUUUAUUUCUGUUAUUUUUAAUUCACCGUAUUCUUAUUUUUCAUAAUUGUUUUUUAAUCUAUAAACCACCUCCUAUAUCUUGGAUUAAUUCAAAUAACUUUAUGAUAUUCAAGCGGAAUACGAUGCAUAGUACUAUUAGUAUAAGAGUAUCUACAAAAAAAAAGCUGUUCAAUUAGUCGUUACUGGUUGUCUAAAAAUCGAAGUUGCGAGAUUAAUAGACUACAACUAACCAACAAAGAGGAUGAAUAAAAUAUCUAUGAAAAAUGAUUUUAUAUUUAUAUUUUGCUGGAUCAUUUUUUGUCGUGUCUGUCUCAUCAUUGCUUUUUUUUAUAUAUUUAUAUUGAACCUUUUUAAAUUCUUUAUCAACGGCAACGCAUGUAACAUCUGAUUUAUUUUUUGAAUAUUCUUCUCCCGCUCAUAAAUCUGCAUGAAAUAUUUGCCACUGUACGUCCAGAAAACAUCAAUCACGAAUAAAUCAUAUCUCCUCUAAAGUUGUAGUAAUAUACUAACUGUAAACAUUAUCAAAUAAGUGAUUCGUUUAAAUUCUAGUCAGAUAUUAUCAGUUACACAGUAUGUUAGUGACCUAAUACGAUAAAUUCGGGGUCAGUAAAUUCCAUAAGGGGUUUGAGCGAAAAUAGAACCUCAUAUGGAAUUUACUGACCCUGUAUAUCGUAUCAGGUCACUAACACACUGUGUAACGAAUUUAUCGUGCCGACUAUCUUUAUUAGUUGAAUUUUGAAUUUUAAACUCGAGUCUCAUUUGCAAUCAUACCACAUCUUCUUAAUUGUUAUAUUAAAGUGUUCAAGUGUUCAGUUUUAAGAAACAUACUCUCAUUGGUCUGCUAUAUAUAUAUAAAAUACUAAUAUAAACUUCUCGUCUCUCUCCUAAUUUUUUUCCCAAAUUUUCGAUACAAUGAACAAAAAGGUAUCAAAGGAAGUAACCCAUCAAAGAUACAAGAUCAUACAAGGGUUGCGCUUCGGCUUCGAAAGAAUUUUUCAAAACAGUUCAAAGCAAGGAAUUCAUGCGUUAUACGCCAUACUUGUGCAUUUUGAAAUUAAAACAGUUGAUUUAUAUAUAUAUGUUUUCGAUAUCAAUAUGACCACAUCAAUGAUAAUUCAUUGUAACACAGAUUGGUAAAUAGGAUGAUGACGAAAAAGAGGAGAAUUCAGUGGCGAAUUAUAUGCAUAGUUGGGUUGAAAGCAUGUUAAUACGAUUUUGUUAUUUAUUCUGCUUUGUACAAGACUAAAAUGCUGAGUCGAUUGUUUAUCGUACUUAUUCAUACAGAAACGGCCAAAUUGAAGAUUAAUCACAUUAAUUUGUGUUAAAGAGAUGACAAAAUGAUUUUUAUAUAUAUAUAUAUAUAAUAAUAAUGCAGACAUGACUGAAUAUCUUAAAUUUCAACUUUUAAUCUAUAAACCACCUCCUAUAUCUUGGAUUAAUUCAAAUAACUUUAUGAUAUUCAAGCGGAAUACGAUGCAUAGUACUAUUAGUAUAAGAGUAUCUACAAAAAAAAGCUGUUCAAUUAGUCGUUACAGGUUGUCUAAAAAUCGAAGUUGCGAGAUUAAUAGACUACAACUAACCAACAAAGAGGAUGAAUAAAAUAUCUAUGAAAAAUGAUUUUAUAUUUAUAUUUUUCUGGAUCAUUUUUUGUCGUGUCUGUCUCAUCAUUGCUUUUUUUUAUAUAUUUAUUUGAACCUUUUUAAAUUCUUUAUCAACGCAACGCAUGUAACAUCUGAUUUAUUUUUUGAAUAUUCUUCUCCGCUCAUAAAUCUGCAUGAAAUAUUUGCCACUGUACGUCCAGAAAACAUCAAUCACGAAUAAAUCAUAUCUCCUCUAAAGUUGUAGUAAUAUACUAACUGUAAACAUUAUCAAAUAAGUGAUUCUUUUAAAUUCUAGUCAGAUAUUAUCAGUUACACAGUAUGUUAGUGACCUAAUACGAUAAAUUCGGGGUCAGUUAAUUCCAUAAGGGGUUUGAGCAAAAAUAGAACCUCAUAUGGAAUUUACUGACUCUGUAUAUCGUAUCAGGUCACUAACACACUGUAUAACGAAUUUAUCGUGCCGACUAUCUUUAUUAGUUGAAUUUUGAAUUUUAAACUCGAGUCUCAUUUGCAAUCAUACCACAUCUUCUUAAUUGUUAUAUUAAAGUGUUCAAGUGUUCAGUUUUAAGAAACAUACUCUCAUUGGUCUGCUAUAUAUAUAAAAAUACUAAUUAUAAACUUCUCGUCUCUCUCCUAAUUUUUUUCCCAAAUUUUCGAUACAAUGAACAAAAAGGUAUCAAAGGAGUAACCCAUCAAAGAUACAAGAUCAUACAAGGGUUGUGCUUCGGCUUCGAAAGAAUUUUUCAAAACAGUUCAAAGCAAGGAAUUCAUGCGUUAUACGCCAUACUUGUGCAUUUUGAAAUUAAAACAGUUGAUUUAUAUAUGUUUCGAUAUCAAUAUGACCACAUCAAUGAUAAUUCAUUGUAACACAGAUUGGUAAAUAGGAUGAUGACGAAAAAGAGGAGAAUUCAGUGGCGAAUUAUAUGCAUAGUUGGGUUGAAAGCAUGUUAAUACGAUUUUGUUAUUUAUUCUGCUUUGUACAAGACUAAAAUGCUGAGUCGAUUGUUUAUCGUACUUAUUCAUACAGAAACGGCCAAAUUGAAGAUUAAUCACAUUAAUUUGUGUUAAAGAGAUGACAAAAUGAUUUUUAUAUAUAUAUAUAUAUAUAAUAAUGCAGACAUGACUGAAUAUCUUAAAUUUCAACUAACAAGAAAAAGAAAAAAAAGUUUACGUGAAUCAAUAAAAAAAGUUUUUAGCAUUUUGGCAUUGAAAAUCACGACGUCAAAGGAAAUAAAAUGACGUUAAAUUUUUUUUUUUAUUGUUUUAUUAUCUAAACUGUCUCGAUCAUUACAAAUUUACGGUAGCACAUUACAUGCUGAAAUUUAUAGGGUGGAUAGAAUACACUAUGAAGAUGUUCUAUUUUCUUUAUAAACAAGUUUCGCUGUAAUUUAUAUUUUAUCAUUUUUUACUCUGACGUUGGGCGCUUUAACGGAGAACUAGUGAUAUAAUGUAUACCCAUCUCAAAACUACAAUAAAGUAUAGCUUGCAUCAAUUUUUUCUUAAAUUAUUUAUCAUGUCUUGAAUAAUGCGUUGAUCAAAUUAACAAAAUUAACAAAACAAUCGAAUGUCCAAGAUAAAUGAUCAUCAGACACAAUAAUACUGAUUGAUUCUAAUUGAUUGAAAUUUAAAAAGAAACGUGUCCUGAUUUUGUUUUUGUUCCAUAAAGUUUCAGUUAUGGUGGUAGGGAGUCUAAAUUAAAAAUGAUCUGAAUUGUUUAAACUGUGCCAAAAUGAAGUAUAAAAGUAUCACCGUGCAUUUCCUCAAGCUACAGGUUGUGAAAAAUGACACAUUUUGUAAGGAUUAUACAGGAAUAAACAGCAUUUCAUUAGAAGCUAAACUAAAUGAUAGAAUUAUAAAAUAAAGUACGAGAAGAAAGCUGUAAGUAAAUGUAUUGAGAAUAUAAAAAGGAAAGACAGGGUCACCGUGCGUUUUUUUCUCGGCUAAAAUAUAAAAUUGCAAAAUAACAUGCCUUUUGUGUAUUCCUUUAGAAAUGCACUAUUUUCAAAAUACUAAUUUUACAAACAUUAAAAUCUUUCCAAUCUUAUCUACUCUUGUAAAAAUAUUAAUAUUUAAAGUUAAACCUAAGAAAUGUGUUCAUUUGAAUGUAUUUAAGAUCAGUUAUCUACAUUCCUCGUCAAAUUUUGAUAACUUGAAUGAAAAGCUAAACCUGAUGUUAUCUGUAACUUACAAUCCAAAAUGGCAAAAGACACCUAUACCACCUUAACUGUGGUGGUUAAAAUGGGGAUUAACACUUUCGUUUGAACAAAUGUUCACCUUAAAACCACUUGAGGUCAAGUACGGGAACAAAUUCUUAAGACAUUUUGAAAGUUUGGCAUACAAACGUAACUUUUAAUCUGCAUGUAUGAUCUCGGUGACCCCGUCCAAAAACUGAAUUAAUGUUACUUCAAGAUGAUAAUUUAAGAUUUAGAAUAGAAGUCCAAGUUAACAUAUCAAUAAACAAUUUAACAAGAGGCUCUUAAGAGCCUGUGUCGCUCACUUUGGCCUAUGUGCAUAUUAAACAAAGGACCCAGAUGGAUUCAUGACAAAAUUGUGUUUUGGUGAUGGUGAUGUGUUUGUAGAUCUUACUUUACUGAACAUUCUUGCUUCUUACAAUUAUCUCAAUUGAUAAUGAACUUGGCCCAUUAGUUACAGAGGAAAUAUUUUGUUAAAAUUUACAAAAAUUUACAAAAUUUACAAAAUUAUUAAAAAUUGACUAUAAAGGGCAAUAACUCUUUAAGGGGUCAACUGACCUCUUUGGUCAUGUUGACUUAUUUGUGGAUAUUACUUUGCUGAACAUUAUUGCUGUUGAUAGUUAAUCUCUAUCUAUAAUAAUAUUCAAGAUAGUAACCAAAAACAGCAAAAUUUCCUUAAAAAUUUCCAAUUCAGGAGCAGCAACCCAACAACCAGUUGUCGGAUUCAUCAGAAAAUUUCAGGGCAGAUAGAUCUUGACUUGCAAAACAAUUUAACCCCCAUGUCUGAAUUACUCUUAAUGCUUUGGUUUCAGAGUUAUAAGCCAAAAUCUACAUUUUACCCCUAGCUUCUGUUUUUAGUCAUGGCGGCCAUCUUGGUUGGUUGGCAGGGUCACGCCACACAUUUUUAAACUAGAUACCCCAAUGAUGAUUGUGGCCAAGUUUGGUUAAAUUUGGCCCAGUAGUUUUAGAGGAGAAGAUUUUGUAAAAGAUUACAAAAAUGUACGAAAAUUUGGUAAAAAAUGACUUUAAAGGGCAAUAACUCCUUAAGGAGUCAACUGACUAUUUUUGUCAUGCUAACUUAUUUGUAGAUCUUACUUUGCUGAACAUUAUUGCUGAUUACAGUUUAUCUCUAUCUAUAAUAAUAUUCAAGAUAAUGGUAAAAAAAAAACACCGUAUAAUUUCCUUGAAAUUGCCAAUUCAGGGGCAGCAACCCAACAACUGUUUGUCCGAUUCGUCUGAAAAUUUCAGGGCAGAUAGAUCGUUACCUGAUAAACAAUUUUACCCCAUAUCAGAUUUGCUGUAAAUUCUAUGAUUUCAGAGUUAUAAGCCAAAAUCUCGUUUUACCCCUAUGUUUUAUUUUUAGCCAAUGGCGGCCAUCUUGCAUGGUUGCCGGGUCACGCCACACAUUUUUUAAACUAGAUACCCCAAUGAUGAUUGUGGCCAAGUUUGGUUUAAUUUGGCCCAGUAGUUUCAGAGGAGAAGAUUUUUGUAAAAGCUAACGACAGACCACGACGACGGACGCCAAGUGAUGAGAAAAGCUCACUUGGCCCUUCGGGCCAGGUGAGCUAAAUAUACAUGCGACCUUAAUUACUUAACAAUUUCGAUACAAUCCACCUAAAAAAUGUUCUGAUCAAAGUGAUCAUCAUUGCUUACAUUAUUAUUUCGUCUGUAAAUACAUAACUAAAACUGUCACAUUAAAACAAACUAACAUAAUACGUCUUAUAUUUAACGUAUAGUAUUGCAAACACGCUGUUUAAACCAGGUUUAAUUUACCAUUUUUUACAUAAGAAAUGCCUGUACCAAGUCAGGAAUAUGACAGUUGUUAUCCAAUCCGUUUGAUGUGUUUGAGCUUAUGAUUUUGUCAUUUCAUUAGGGACUUUCCGGUUUGAAAUUCCCUCUGUGUUCAGUAUUUUUGUGAUUCGACUUUUUGAUGUCAAAGACGACAUUGCUUUAGGCAAAAUUUCAUAAAUGAAUGUUAAUGAAUAUAAUUUCUGAGGCAUUUUGAAAGACAGGUAAUUUUUGUUCUCCAAAGAAAAAGUCAAAAGUAGUAACAAAUUAUUGACCUGUAUAAAGCAGACAGCAUUUCAAUGAUAAUCAUUUUUGUAGAUGCUGAACCUAGCAACAUGGUUGCAUUCUAUGCAUACAUGGACACACAUGAAACAAAUCCAGGGCGUCACCAGACUCUGAUAUUUGACAUAGCGAAAACCAACAUCGGAUUUGCUUACAAUACAAACAGUGGACUGUUCACCUCACCAGACCAUGGUAUAUACAUGUUCACCUGGACUAUAAUUUGUGAAUCACACGGUUAUGUGUAUUCCGAAAUAAUGAUUAACUCUGCAUCAUUUGGCAGCAUUUUAACCAAUAGCCAAAGCAUCUCAAAUGAUCAUACAGUCACCGGUAUUGUUGUAGCGGAAGUGUACCAAGGAGAUGUGGUAUAUAUCCGGACGAAUCCAUAUCAACCAAUUCAACGCGGAAUUUUAAGUGACACGUUUCAUCGCAC